rnacentral:misc_RNA from 1 species
CCGAGUUAGGGUCCUCAGGGCCCGACCUCCCAACCCAUUGUUUACUGAUACUCAGCUGUUGCUUCGGCAGGGCCCUGGUCUUGACUGCCGAGGACCGCCGUAGACACGCCCCCAGAGAGUCCGCCUGCCCGCCCGGCCCCAACUCAAAAAACUCUUAAUUGAAACCGUGUCGUCUGUCUAGUAAUGUCAUAUAAUCAAAUAAUGCA